rnacentral:lncRNA from 1 species
UCAAAGGUGCAGAGGAGAUGAUGUUUAAUCCUUCAUUUGAACCUUUGGAUGAUUUUAGUAUUAGUACUGAAAUUAACCUGAGUGAGGAAUACCAAGCCACUAUCUCUGAAAGUGAUAAGGUUGUUAAUGAGAAAAAAAAUAGAGAUAGAGGAGGAAUAGAUAGAGAGAGAGGCUGAGGAAGAAGAAGAUGAUAAGGAGAAAAAAAGCAGUGGAUGAAAGAAAAGAAAAAAAUAGAAAAAUUGGGAAAAUAAAGAAGAAACCAAGAAAAAAUAAAAAGAGAAAGUUGAGAGAAAAGAGGAGAAAGAAAAAGAGGAAGAGAGAAAAAAAGAAAAGAUCAUGUGAAAAACCCCUUCCUCACAAAAAGAAAUAUCAUAGGCAG